UACGGGGGGAGCAAGCGUUGUUCGGAUUUACUGGGCGUAAAGGGCGCGUAGGCGGUCAGCACAAGUCAGUUGUGAAAUCUCCGGGCUUAACUCGGAAAGGUCAACUGAUACUGUGCGACUAGAGUGCAGAAGGGGCAACUGGAAUUCUCGGUGUAGCGGUGAAAUGCGUAGAUAUCCGAAGGAACACCGGUGGCGAAAGCGGCGCGCUGGACCUCUUCUGACGCUGAGGCGCGAAAGCCAGGGGAGCAAACGGG
rnacentral:rRNA from 1 species